rnacentral:tRNA from 1 species
AAUUAAGUAGUUUAUUAAAAAUUUUAGUUUGUGGUACUAAUGAAAAGGAAGAUUAUACUUCUUAAUUU